GUGUAGCAGGAUAUAAAAAUUAUACCUAGCUCUCAGACCUUGGUUUCAAAUACCAUUCUGCAAUAAAAGGAACCAGAGACUCCUGGAGAAAUGGCUGAUUGCAGGACUGGGGCAAGAAAUGUGUAAGACUGUGUAACUGAACCAAUGUGAGUUCAUUCCUGGGAUUGAAUUUUCCAGGAAUGUAAGGGAAGAGAUGAGAUGAGAUGAGAAGAGAAGAGAAGAGAAGAGAAGAGAAGAGAAGAGAAGAGUAAAAAUAAACAGAAGUAGAAGAGCCAACUUAUGGAAACCUAAGCAUCGCUGAAUGGGAGAAUGGAUAAAGAAGAUAUGGUGGAUCAUAUGACGGAAUAUUUUUCUGGCAGAAGAAAGAAGGAAAUCCUGCCAUUUGUGACGAUAUGGAUGAAACUUGGCAACAGUAU